AGCCUGUGAUGGUUAAAGAGUAGUGGACAGAAGGGAUUUCUGAAAAAUACUGGGCUGAGGCU
rnacentral:snoRNA from 1 species